GAUGAACACUGGCGGCGUGCCUAAUACAUGCAAGUCGAGCGAACAGACGAGGAGCUUGCUCCUCUGACGUUAGCGGCGGACGGGUGAGUAACACGUGGAUAACCUACCUAUAAGACUGGGAUAACUUCGGGAAACCGGAGCUAAUACCGGAUAAUAUAUUGAACCGCAUGGUUCAAUAGUGAAAGACGGUUUUGCUGUCACUUAUAGAUGGAUCCGCGCCGCAUUAGCUAGUUGGUAAGGUAACGGCUUACCAAGGCAACGAUGCGUAGCCGACCUGAGAGGGUGAUCGGCCACACUGGAACUGAGACACGGUCCAGACUCCUACGGGAGGCAGCAGUAGGGAAUCUUCCGCAAAGGGCGAAAGCCUGACGGAGCAACGCCGCGUGAGUGAUGAAGGUCUUCGGAUCGUAAAACUCUGUUAUUAGGGAAGAACAAAUGUGUAAGUAACUAUGCACGUCUUGACGGUACCUAAUCAGAAAGCCACGGCUAACUACGUG
rnacentral:rRNA from 1 species